rnacentral:rRNA from 1 species
GACGAACCACACAAACGGUAUUCGGAAUUACUGGGCUUAAAGGGUGCGUAGGCGGCGCGGUAAGUUGGGUGUGAAAUCCCUCGGCUCAACCGAGGAAUUGCGCUUGAUACUGCCGUGCUCGAGGGAGACAGAGGUGAGCGGAACUUAGGGUGGAGCGGUGAAAUGCGUUGAUAUCCUAAGGAACACCAGUGGCGAAAGCGGCUCACUGGGUCUCUUCUGACGCUGAGGCACGAAAGCUAGGGGAGCGAAUGGG